AGAGCGAACGCUGGCGGCAGGCCUAACACAUGCAAGUCGAGCGCCCGUAGCAAUACGGGAGCGGCAGACGGGAUAGUAACACGUGGGAACGCGCCCUUCGGUUCGGAAUAACUCAGGGAAACUUGAGCUAAUACCGAAUACGCCCUUACGGGGAAAGAUUUAUUGCCGAAGGAACGGCCCGCGUCCGAUUAGCUAGUUGGUGAGGUAAUGGCUCACCAAGGCUACGAUCGGUAGCUGGUCUGAGAGGAUGACCAGCAUCACUGGGACUGAGACACGGCCCAGACUCCUACGGGAGGCAGCAGUGGGGAAUAUGGACAAUGGGCGCAAGCCUGAUCCAGCCAUGCCGCGUGGAUGAUGAAGGCCUUAGGGUUGUAAAGUCCUUUUAACGGGAAGAUAAUGACGUACCGUAGAAUAAGCCCGGCUAACUUCGUGCCAGCAGCCGC
rnacentral:rRNA from 1 species